rnacentral:rRNA from 1 species
GGACUGAGCCACGGCCCGGGCUCCCACGGGAGGCAGCAGUGGGGAAUUUUCCGCAAUGGGCGAAAGCCUGACGGAGCAAUACCGCGUGAGGGAGGAAGGCUCUUGGGUUGUAAACCUCUUUUCUCAGGGAAGAAAAAAAUGACGGUACCUGAGGAAUAAGCAUCGGCUAACUCCGUGCCAGCAGCCGCGGUAAUACGGAGGAUGCAAGCGUUAUCCGGAAUGAUUGGGCGUAAAGGG